GAAAAACCUUACCCACCUUGACAUGUACGGAAUCCUUUAGAGAUAGAGGAGUGCUCGAAAGAGAACCGUAACACAGGUGCUGCAUGGCUGUCGUCAGCUCGUGUCGUGAGAUGUUGGGUUAAGUCCCGCAACGAGCGCAACCCUUGUCAUUAGUUGCUACAUUUAGUUGGGCACUCUAAUGAGACUGCCGGUGACAAACCGGAGGAAGGUGGGGAUGACGUCAAGUCCUCAUGGCCCUUAUAGGUGGGGCUACACACGUCAUACAAUGGAUGGUACAAAGGGUCGCCAACCCGCGAGGGGGAGCCAAUCCCAUAAAGCCAUUCGUAGUCCGGAUCGCAGUCUGCAACUCGACUGCGUGAAGUCGGAAUCGCUAGUAAUCGUGGAUCAGAAUGUCACGGUGAAUACGUUCCCGGGUCUUGUACACACCGCCCGUCACACCAUGGGAGCGGGUUCUGCCAGAAGUAGUUAGCCUAACCGCAAGGAGGGCGAUUACCACGGCAGGGUUCGUGACUGGGGUGAAGUCGUAACAAGGUAACCGUA
rnacentral:rRNA from 1 species